AUUUUUCCUCCUGCUCUUUGAUGCCUUUUAUUUAUGGAUAUAUAGGCAUUAUUAGCCACAGAAUUGUGGCCCCCAUUUCAGAUUUUUAUUGAUACAGAAAACUCUAUUUUUUGAGAAGAGCAAAUUACAUACAAUAACUUAUUUGUACUGGUAAACACCUUUAGACUAUUAGUAUUAAUAAGAAACGAAGUCCUAAAUUUCCAGGCUCCCUAAAUCAAGAUAAAGAACUGAAAAUAAUGUCGACUAUGAAAAUCAUUGUUUGGAAAUCGUGAUCUUUUUUUUUUUUUUAACGUCUUCUGGUGUCUUCAUUAUAAGAAAAUAAAUGAGAUUUCAAGUCUUCCCUGCCUCCAGUAUCAUGUCCUAUAACUGAACAUUACACCUUUUUAACGUUUUCUUUAGAAGCCCUGAUUUAUUUGGCUUUGGUUUAUGUUGAUACAUGUCCAUGAUUAUUAAAAUUUCUGAUUAUUUAGGACAUAAUUUUUAAGGUAUCUUUAGGGUGUACACUCUAUAGUACUUAACAUCUUAUUCAGGUUAUGACUUUGAACUGCAUCAUUAUAACACUAAAAAGCAACCUUGGCUAACUUCAGUACCUUACGUAACAUAAGAAAUAAAGAAUAACUUGAACUUAAAAUACUUUUUAUAUGUUUACUUCGGGUAUUCUUAAGGGCUUUCAGUACAAAGAUAAAAACAUGCGUUGGAAUGCAUCAACAUUCCAACUUACAUAAGUGGUGUAGAUACCUAUGGCAUUAGUACCACAUUUUGAUGGUUGGACCACCCACCAAAUUCCCUUCUCUCCUUUUUUACUUCUUUUUCUUUCUGUUUGCUUUCCUUGCAAGUUUCCUUCCGCAUCCUUCUUUCCCACCUACAAUUUGUAACUGAAAGAAAGAAGUAGCUACAGACCUUACCUAACCUACUCUUAACCUACUUGGUAGGUAGGGUUCAGAUGCAAGGGAGUGGCUCGAAUAAAGCAUUUUAGUUAUGCCUUUUAGAAAUUAGGGAGCAAGAGAUAUAUAGAAAAAUUAGAAAUGUCUCUUCUACCUUUAUUAAGUCUACCUUUGAGAAAUAUGAAGGGCAGGAAGACGGAAAAACGAACAGAACUUCUGCUGGAAUAUUGUGACAAAUUUACUGACAAAUAUUUUCUAAUAGAUUUUUACCAACAGGCAGUUUUUGUUUUCUUUACUGACAGACCGUAAAUGUACUUCUGGUUGGCAGCAGCUGCAUCAUUAUAACACAAAAGCAACCUUGGCUAACUUCAGUACCUUAUGUAACAUAAGAAAUAAAGAAUAACUUGAAUUUAAAAUACUUUUUAUAUGUUUACUAACAUUAAACUAUUUUCAAUGCAGGAAAUAAAUAUUUCCCCAAAGAGGAAUCCCCCCUCAAUUACUUUCUUUCAGACUUAACAAAUUGGAGUAGAUGUGGUUUUGCUCAUUCUUUUAUCUGCUGGCAACUAUUUUAAGUCUCCUGUGCAAGGCAGAUUCCGAUGACCUCGGGAAAGUCACAGGACCUCAGUUUCUUCAAUGGUAAAAGCAAAGGCAGUGGUUUCUACCGUCCUUUCUCACUGCACCAUUCAGCGUCAGUGCCCUCAUGAGAAACACACCCAAAGCCCAGUGUGCUCUACCCCAAAACUUGUGAAAUUUCUAGAGUCUCAAAAAAGUGAAUAUGUUUAAGGCAGUAUAAUAAAAGCCAGGUGGACGACAGUUCCUAAAGUUAGGCUGGUAGUGGCGUGAACAGGGGUCUUUUGGGCCACCCUGAGACCCGCCCCACGGGGCUUCUCGAUCCACGUCUUGGCUUCUCGCUCCACUUUCACAGAACGUACUGAAUCAGGGGCCUGCAUCCCCGUGCCGUGCCGAGCCGACGGAGAAAUGGACUCCUCUUCUCGCUCCUGUGGAGUUUCGUCUUCUGGUACGGUGGUUUGCUCUUGAGUUACGACCAGAAACCGGAACAGAAGGAAAGGGAGAAGCAGGGGAGGUUCGGGGACGACGGCGCUCCGGGCAGUAAGGCAGUAGCUUCCAAAGCGUGGAGGAUGGGACUGAGGAGGAGCAGAAUACGGAGAAAGAGGGAAGCUGAGGAAAAA
rnacentral:lncRNA from 1 species